rnacentral:rRNA from 1 species
UACGUAGGGUGCAAGCGUUAAUCGGAAUUACUGGGCGUAAAGCGUGCGCAGGCGGUGAUGUAAGUCAGAUGUGAAAUCCCCGGGCUCAACCUGGGAACUGCAUUUGGGACUGCAUCGCUGGAGUGCGGCAGAGGGGGAUGGAAUUCCGCGUGUAGCAGUGAAAUGCGUAGAUAUGCGGAGGAACACCGAUGGCGAAGGCAAUCCCCUGGGCCUGCACUGACGCUCAUGCACGAAAGCGUGGGGAGCAAACAGG